CCCCAAUAAUAAUAACACAACCCCCUAUGAGCAAGUACUUGGCGACAGUGGGAAGGAAAAACUCCCUUUUAACAGGAAGAAACCUCCGGCAGAACCAGGCUCAGGGAGGGGCGGGGCCAUCUGUCAUAUAAUGUGUAUGAUUGCUAACUUCAGAUAGACACAGCCCAGCUGUUUCCCUACUUUACCUAUUCAUACUCAGCUAAAGUAACUGGCUUUAGAAUGAGGAACGCGCGUCAUUCGUUCUUUCAUAAGUUAUUACACCAUCAACAUGUUCAAAAUUUCAUAAAGGUCCAGAUUUGUUUUCUUCCUUGUUGCAAAAAUGUACAUCAAAUUAUAAAAUACAAAACAAACAAAAACAAAUCACUAACCAGCUUUUGUUUAAUCAGCUUUAAACAAUAAGUAAAUCCAAACUGAGUGAAGACAUAUUUCAUGGUGAUGUAUGGCACAAUGUUUGAUAAGUAGUGAUUUCUAAAUCACUGAGUGUAAGCUAUGCUAAAUUAUGAUAGGACUGUGUGUUUAACGACAGUGCAGUAACUCUCAUUAACAUCUGACAUCUGUCUGCAUAUUAACAACUCAUUUAGUCUAAGGAGUUAAAAACACCUAACCAGCAAUGAGACAUAAAAUAAUACAUACCGAGUAGUUGAGAUUUCGAGAUUGUUACAAGAAAUUCUUGAUUACUUUGUGAUAUAUGGCUUACUAUUAAUUACCCUUCAAGUAAAGUAGAGCGAUGGAUUACCAGACCUUUCUUUCUUUUUUUUUGGUCAUAAUUCAAGACAAACAGAAAGGAGACAAAUGAUUUGAAUCACCAGAGUUCAAUUAAUAUUCACAUCCAUAAACCUUCUGAGGUAUCGUCCAUAAUGUUAAAAUGAACGUAGAAAGCUAUUGGCAUAAUUACAGCCAUAUUACUAUUAUUAAUUAAAAUGUUUUUUUAAAUUGUCUGAACCCACCAUAAAUCAGAAUAGCUGUAAUAGAUGUGAUAACAGAGCAUGUAGCAGUUCACCAAUUAGCCGGCCAGCACUGCGUUAGCCGCUCGUUUGGCAUACGGAUGUGAAUAUUAAUGUAAACAUGCUCUGCACUGACAAUGAAUGUUGUGUUUGUGUUGCUUUUUUGUUUGUGUUACUCGUGUAUUAAUUACGCAACGGGGGACGAAAUUAAUUAUUCAGCAUGUGACUUUAUCUUAUAUAGAAACCUAUAAGCAGUAUAUAAAAUCACAUACAGACUUGAUUGUGUAGCUUUUGAUUUUGUUCUUUUGUUUAAUUUGAUUGCUUCUCCUGAUUCGUUUCCAGCUGGGUCUGCUUCUCCUAAACACUCUGAUCUUUGUCCCGCUGUUUUGUGUUCUUUUCACUGCUUUUUAAUUGGAUGGCAGCCAUUUUUAAAUUUUUUUCAUUGCGUUCCAUGAUGCUUUUAAUGUGCUGCUGUUUCUGCUUGAAGACAUUCAGUGCAUGUUUUUGCUCAGUAAGUUUAAAGUCACAGCACAGCACAUGAUGACUGUCUAUUGGAGAUGGUCACUUUUGCAGAGCAUCUUUUACAAUCCUGUAAAUCUUUACCGAUUGCUGCUAUCAUUCAGGUAGGUGGUUGAGUCAUGUGUAUGUAUAUAUAUGUGUGUGUGUGUGUGUGUGUGUGUGUGUGUGUGUGUGUGUGUGUGUGUGCAUGAAUGUGUCUAAUAGCCCCGCAGCAAUUUCACCCCAUGUUAGAUGUGAUGGAUCAGCCGCACGCUGCCACACACCUUAGAGCUGCAGGUGUAAAAAAACAGUCAACACAUGUAUCAAGGAGCCACAGAGAGCAGCGUGAUUCUGCAGGGCUGAUGCAAGACGACAAGGGAAUAAUAAUGAAACACAGCUGCUGUUUUACCACUGACCUGGAUUGAUACAGUACAAAGAGAGACACAGACGAGCUCAAUCCUCCAACACAGCUGGUUCUCCACUGAAACAAGCUGCCUCUAAUCCCAUUUGUCAACUGCAAAGAUGCGCUUCGAUUUUAGGGUCGUGGCGCCCAACAGCAAAUUCAAACGCGUCUAAAUGGCAGCCAUCACCACUCGGGAUGGCUUCCUAGAUGUGCAUGUUUUCACAUGUAAGCCCAGACGUAUAGGUCAGCACAGUUAGCGAGCGAUGUGCUUUGGACUGUCAGCAUAGCUUACUGUAAUAAGACAUCACAAACAUGUGCACUGCGCAUACAAACAUGAGUUUAUCCCCUUUCUGCCACAGAGGCCUCAACAUUAAAAGGUGCUCGAUUGCUCACUGUACAUCUCUGGCUUUGUGCGUGAAGGCAGCAUAAAUAAUACACAUGAUCAGUUUCCUCAUUGUUUGUCUUUGAUGCAGCAGCAGCCUCCUUCUGUCAACCUGGCUUCUCUGCCUCGUCUUUGUUGGCUUUGAUGCACAUUUAACGAGGUUGUACCCAGUCGUUCGGCAUGUUAAGUGGAUGCCACUCCGCUGUGCGCUGUAUACUCAGUGGAUUGUGCGAGUGACUCUUGUGUACUGGGGGACCGCUGGGUUUUGUUGUUGAUGUGUCUCUGUCCUGGCAGCGGCAAACAAUACCAAAGAUCUGUGUGAAGAAGGAGUCCGGGGUGCCUCUUUUGUGAGAACUACACCCUGAAACAGAAUUUUUUAAACUAUCCAUGCUGUGAUCUUGGACUUUAUAUUUCUCUGAAUAAACAAGCUAGUUUUAGUGUUGUUGCAAACUGAAAUUAGGCGCUAAUCUGUGAUAGACGCGCAGCCUUUUUUUCCUCUGCAGAGACAGAUUAAAGCUUUGGCUCUUGUUUGCUUGCUGGGCCUGUUUACACUGUCCAAGUUUUUUUUAAAAGCCUCUCUCGUUUUGUGCAGAUCCUCCCUUUAAUGUGUUUUCCCUGGCCGAGACUGUGGCACAGAAAGCACACAGAUGAUAACUGAUGAUAGGAGCGUGAGUCAUUCCAUGACCUUCCAAGCAUUCAACUCAUUUGACUUUGAUGUGUAAAGUAGACCAAUGAAUGGAGGAGCGGCUGCGCUUUAAUUUUGGUCUAAAUUACAAACUCAAAUGAGUAAAGCGUUCAGUGAACAAUAGCAAGGUGCAAGGGGCCCACACUUAUUUUCCCAUGACACAACAGUGCCACCUACUGGUGUCUACGUGUGAUUACGUGUAAUUGUGAGUCCUAGGAAGCAUUUGAUUUUCUUCCUUUCACGUUUUUUCUCUAAUGUUUGUUCAUGAGUGUCUAAAUGCUUCUGCCUGUACACUAAAAAUCCACUUUAUAAAGUUUUGUAAGCAUAUAACGCUCUGUGUUGUGAGCACUCACUGCUUUCUUUGUGUUUUUCACCCUGAAAAAAUCAAUAAACUGAGGUGCUUAAAAGAAAAUUCGCCCUGAUUGAAAUCGAGAAUCUGUGAAUAUGUGCGCAUGCAGUAUCUGCACAGUGUGAGUUCAAAGGUCAAGUGAACUCUAAUAGAUUGAUUAGAAAUAGGAUGCACAGACGGGGAUGGGAGCACGCUGAUUCAUUGACAGCCUUUAAUUGUGCAAACAGACAGCACUGUCUUUUCAUGAGACCUUCGAUUUCAUCAUAUUCUGAGGCACACAUGGACCACAUGAGGCUUCAGCACUGUGUCUGAGGAGGUGGUAUCAGAUGAUGGUGCUCUCUUCCUUCCUCUUUACCUUCUACUCAUCGGAGUUCAGUUAUAACACCACCAACUGCCACCUCCAGAGCUUCUCAGAGGAUACGGGCUUCGUUGGAUGUGGACCUGAGGCGAAACGAUCUUGAGCAUAGGAAGGUUAUCACACACUCACUGUCAUCUGGUGUAACUCGACAACCUGCACAUCAGCACCAGCGAAUCAAAACAAGAUGUUGGUUGAUUUCUGGAGAAAGCCGAGACCUAUCGGUGCGAUAUCGGUGCGAUAGGUCUCCACCAAAUUUCUCCACAGUUUGGACUGGUGCAAAUUGCCAGGUGAUAACAGAUAACACUGAUGCUCCAUUUGCUGGACAGGCUGAGGUCUUUUGAGGUGUGCAGGACAUUAAUGAAGACCUUUUAUGACGUAGGUCCUUCAUCUUGACAGCACUCAGACUGUUUAAUACCCACACAGGAUAAAGGUGUUUAAAAAAUACAUGUGUGUUAUUAUCACUCUCACUGUGGUAUA